AGAAAACUUUUCCCCUCCCACCCAAUGGCUCUCACCAUUUCCAGCCAACACAUCUCCUCCACUCCCUUCAGUUUCAGGAUUCUGCAAAAGACCUAAUCAGCAAAAGGUAGCAAAUUUUUUUCAAGCUCCGAAAAUCCUCAAGCAUUAUAUUCGGAAGCAAACAUCCUUCAACAACUUGUGGACAGCCUUAUCAAAAUCUGAGUUUACUGAUGGUUGUGCUCUCAAAGUUCCACUUUCAGCCCCUUUUCGAAUUCACCAUUCUGAGCCAUCUAUUUAAGAAUGUAAUCCAAACCUUUUGGAGGAUGCAGCUCCAAAAUUCAAACCUCUAAUUGCCUCAUCAGGUCAGUAAACUCAGUUUCUCCUACCAAGCAAUUCAAGUAUUUGAAACUUCCCAACUCUAACUCUAGGAGGAGGAAGAGAGGUCAAAGAAUCCAGUCACAUCAAGUCUCCUCGCUUUCUUCUUAUUCUGCUUUAAAGUAAAUUUGAUGCGAUCUCCUUGUCUUGCUGCCAAUUACUCUGAAAAGUUUCCCAUUGAGGCCUUGGAUUCACCUUUUAGUGUCAGCAGUGAGGAGUCUUUGGGUUUCUGAUAGACCCCCUAUCUUACAUCAAUAUAGCAGGAGAGGGGAAAAGAAGUAACACGUGUGUAGAGGGAGGUUGAGGCACGUGAGAAUAACGAAGAGUAAUAAGAUAGUAUAAAUAUAAGUGAGUCGGGGGGCGGGAAAGUUAGUUAGACUUGAGAGUAAGAAAGUCUUUUCUGUUCUUCCUUGAAAGAUAGGUUAGCAGAAGAAGUUAGAGUGUGUGAAGUAUUGUUCUAUUCUUUAGUCUUGUUCUAGAGAUUGUAACGAGGAGUCAUUCCUUUAUUACUAUCAAUAAUACUUGAAUUUCUACAUCACACCCGAUUUCCAUCAGUUUCCUUAACGGUUUUGAUCACAAGUGUAAUGCAGAAAUUGAAGGGGCAGACCUCACUGCCUUAUUUGAUGAAGCCGACACCCAUCCUCUCAAAGUACCCUCGAAAUUGCCUAAGGAUCUGCUUUCCUUAAUCAAUGAUUGUGGCAUCAUCUUGGUUUAAAGAGACAGCUGACCGGAGGGUUCUUGACAGAUAAACAGGCUGCAUAUGGAAACAAGACUAGUGGAAGAGAUAAUCAUUGGAAAGAUUGUUUUGUCAACAAGGGCCAUCUUAUGGAUAAAAGGGUGAAGGAACCUUACAUAGCAUUUCUCAAAAGCAAAGAAGGCAAAUGGAUUUUGUGGAAUCUGCAAAAGAUAUUCCAUGUUUCAUUGUAUCUUUCAAGGAUCAAAUCGUUAUGAUUGAGGUGAAGCACCGUUCAGAUUAUUUGCAGCUUAAACCUUUAAAAGAAGGACAAGGAGAUAUGUAAAGAAAGGAGAAGAGUUUUGGGUAUUUCUCUUUCGGUGGAAGUUCCGUAAUUUGUCUUUGAAAAGAAUGCAAAGUAGCAGCUUGGUGCUCUCUAAACAAUCAGAUUGUGAAUUACUCAACUCAAGAUCUUGGUCUCAACUGGGCAGUCUUUAUCUCUCAAACAGCCCCCUAGGCCCUGUUCUGUUUUGGUGACUUUGUUUUGUAUUUUGACAGCUUCGUUUUCCCCUCUCUGGCCGGCCUUCUUUGGAGCAUAGCUUAUUUUUCUUUUGGUCUAGUUUACACAGUAGCAGCUUUUGCUUUUGUCUAUAGGCUCAGGCUUUGUUCUGCUGUGUUUGCCCCAUUUCCCUUUCUUUAUUUCUCUGUCUCAGCUCUCUGCAUUAGGCUGGACUAUGUCUCCAUUGUAUUUUGGCAUAUUUUAUUUUCUUGCUUUAAUUGAGAUAUGCUGUUUUGGUGCUAAGGGGGUGUCAAUCCCCCUCACUUAUUGCUCUCUAGGCUUCUUUAUUACACUCAUUGUAUAACUCUCUUGUACUUUGAGUUUGUUAUUAUUAAUAAAGUAGUUUAUCUCCCUUUCAAAAAAAUAAA